CCGGCUUGGGUGAGUGGCUGAAACCAACGGACUUUGACUCCGUCGAGGAAACUCCGCGUCAGUUCGAAUCUGACAGCCGGUGCCA
rnacentral:tRNA from 1 species